rnacentral:rRNA from 1 species
GUGUCAGCAGCCGCGGUAAAACGUAGGUGGCAAGCGUUAUCCGGAAUUACUGGGCGUAAAGGGUGUGCAGGCGGGGUGACAAGUGGUGUAUGAAAUGUCCCAGCUUAACUGGGAGGGGUUAUGCCAGACUGUCACUCUAGAGGACGAGAGAGGGGGGUGGAAUUCCGGGUGUAGUGGUGAAAUGCGUAGAGAUCCGGAGGAACCCCAGAGGCGAAGGCGGCCCCCUGGCUCGUACCUGACGCUCAGCCACGAAAGCAUGGGGAGCGAACGGGAUUAGAAACCCCCGUAGUCC